UACGGAGGAUUCAAGCGUUAUCCGGAAUGAUUGGGCGUAAAGCGUCCGCAGGUGGCUGUGUAAGUCUGCUGUCAAAGAGCGAAGCUCAACUUCGUAAAGGCAGUGGAAACUACACGGCUAGAGUGCGUUCGGGGCAGAGGGAAUUCCUGGUGUAGCGGUGAAAUGCGUAGAGAUCAGGAAGAACACCGGUGGCGAAGGCGGGAUCCUGGGCCAGUACUGACGCUGAGGCGCGAAAGCUAGGGGAGCGAACGGG
rnacentral:rRNA from 1 species